AAUGGGGGCAACCCUGAUCCAGCCAUGCCGCGUGUGUGAAGAAGGCCUUCGGGUUGUAAAGCACUUUCAGUUGUGAGGAAGGGGAGUAGGUUAAUAACCUGCUUCAUUGACGUUAACAACAGAAGAAGCACCGGCUAACUUCGUGCCAGCAGCCGCGGUAAUACGAGGGGUGCAAGCGUUAAUCGGAAUUACUGGGCGUAAAGCGCGCGUAGGCGGUUAUUUAAGCCAGAUGUGAAAUCCCCGGGCUCAACCUGGGAACUGCAUUUGGAACUGGGUAACUAGAAUGCAGCAGAGGAUAGUGGAAUUUCAGGUGUAGCGGUGAAAUGCGUAGAGAUCUGAAGGAACAUCAGUGGCGAAGGCGACUGUCUGGGCUGACAUUGACGCUGAGGUGCGAAAGCGUGGGUAGCAAACAGGAUU
rnacentral:rRNA from 1 species